GGGGCAUUAGCUCAGCUGGGAGAGCGCCACACUGGCAGUGUGGAGGUCAGCGGUUCGAGCCCGCUAUGCUCCACCA
rnacentral:tRNA from 7 species